GACGAACGCUGGCGGCGUGCUUAACACAUGCAAGUCGAACGGUGAAGCUCCAGCUUGCUGGCGUGGAUCAGUGGCGAACGGGUGAGUCACACGUGAGCAACCUGCCCCCGACUCUGGAAUACGCGCUGGAAACGGCGUCUAAUACUGGAUACGAGAUCAAGCGGCAUGGUUAUGGUCUGGAAAGUUUUUCGGUUUGGGAUGGGCUCGCGGCCUAUCAGCUUGUUGGUGAGGUAAUGGCUCACCAAGGCGACGACGGGUAGCCGGCCUGAGAGGGCGACAGGCCACACUGGGACUGAGACACGGCCCAGACUCCUACGGGAGGCAGCAGUGGGGAAUAUUGCACAAUGGGCGAAAGCCUGAUGCAGCGACGCCGCGUGAGGGAUGACGGCCUUCGGGUUGUAAACCUCUUUCAGCAGGGAAGAAGCGAAAGUGACGGUACCUGCAGAAGAAGCACCGGCUAACUACGUG
rnacentral:rRNA from 1 species